CUACGGAGGGUGCAAGCGUUACUCGGAAUCACUGGGCGUAAAGCGCGCGCAGGCGGCUAUUUAAGUUGGAUGUGAAAGCCUACGGCUCAACCGUAGAACUGCAUCCAAAACUAUUUAGCUAGAGUGUGGGAGAGGAAGAUGGAAUUAGUUGUGUAGGGGUAAAAUCCGUAGAGAUAACUAGGAAUACCAAAAGCGAAGGCAAUCUUCUGGAACAUUACUGACGCUGAGGCGCGAAAGCGUGGGGAGCAAACAGGAUUAGAUACCCUAGUAGUCC
rnacentral:rRNA from 1 species